rnacentral:sRNA from 1 species
UGAUAAACGACGCUUGAUGUGCCCCCCC